UGGGGAAUAUUGCACAAUGGGGGGAACCCUGAUGCAGCGACGCCGCGUGAGUGAAGAAGUAUUUCGGUACGUAAAGCUCUAUCAGCAGGGAAGAAAAAAGGACGGUACCUGAGUAAGAAGCCCCGGCUAACUACGUGCCAGCAGCCGCGGUAAUACGUAGGGGGCAAGCGUUAUCCGGAAUUACUGGGUGUAAAGGGAGCGUAGACGGCAAUGCAAGUCCGGAGUGGAAUGCGGCAGCUCAACUGCCGAACUGCUCUGGAAACUGUAUGGCUUGAGUGCAGGAGGGGUAAGCGGAAUUCCUGGUGUAGCGGUGAAAUGCGUAGAUAUCAGGAGGAACACCGGUGGCGAAGGCGGCUUACUGGACUGUAACUGACGUUGAGGCUCGAAAGCGUGGGGAGCAAACA
rnacentral:rRNA from 1 species